CACGUAGGGGGCAAGCGUUGUCCGGAUUUACUGGGCGUAAAGGGCGCGUAGGCGGCGCAACAAGUCACUUGUGAAAUCUCCGGGCUUAACCCGGAGCGGCCAAGUGAUACUGUCGUGCUAGAGUGCGGAAGGGGCUACUGGAAUUCUCGGUGUAGCGGUGAAAUGCGUAGAUAUCGAGAGGAACACCUGCGGCGAAGGCGGGUAGCUGGGCCGACACUGACGCUGAGGCGCGAAAGCCAGGGGAGCGAACGGG
rnacentral:rRNA from 1 species